rnacentral:sRNA from 1 species
UGGCUUGUGUUCCUGUUCUCAAGACUCGUCAACAAUCAUUUUAUUAAAUACAAGAUAAAUAGCAAGUAUUUUGCUUUUUAAUUAGGCAUUGAGAACAACUACAGUUGAACCAAAGACACUAGCAUAAUUAUUAUUCUAGUGUCUUUGGUUGAACAAUAUUAUCUCGUUUUAAAUUAUCGUAUUCCCAUGGAUAACAUCUAAACGCGCAAGCAGCAAAAAAGGCCAAAGUAAUUUCAUGAUAAGGUGCAUUUUGGAACUGAAAAUGAUGUUGAACUCUUGCUCUUUUAUAUAAGAGCUAGGAUUGGAGCAACACCAAGUAGAUAAGAGAUGGAUUUAAUGGGCUUGGUAAGGUACUUGGCAGCUGAGACAAUGUGAUUAGCUAUAGUUCCGCACCAUUGUAAAAUUCAAAAGCGCUAGAGGGCGCUGUCGACAAUUUAUGUAAUUAUUAUAUGUGUGGUCGCGUCUAUGGUUGCUAACAUUUGCCAACAAUGGGCUUGUGGUAGUGUUUUUGUUCGCGAUUUUUAUAAAUAAAAGAAAAUUAGCAAGUAAAAAGUAUUUAACUUUUUAAUUAGGCAUGUAAAACAACUACAGUUAAUUUGGAUAUGGAUAUGGAUAUGGAGGCAUACAUCCCCAGCUGCAGGCAGAAGAUAAUGCCAAAAGGACAAACUAAGGGAGAUAGAAUGUUAGCUGCCAGGUGGCAAAGUCAGAAGUUUGACCAUUUGAUGUGCUAGAAACAACAGCAAAUAAUGCCCACAGGACAACCUAAGGGAGAUUUAAUUUUAGCGUAAGACACUUUUUCACAUACUAGCUUACUCAGCAGUAAUUUCACGACGAGCUGCAUUUUGGAACUGAAAAUGAUUUUGAAUACUUUCCCUUUUAUAUAAGACCUAGAUUAAGGCUACUUCUUGAUAAGAGAUAGAUUUAAUUAAGCUGUGGAAGUCCCUGGUCCUAAAACCGAAGCAUUGAUGGCAGUUUUUUAUAUAAUAUAAUUUUAAUGGCUUUAAAACGUAGGAACUAACAGAGGCAACGAACAUAACAUGAAUACAUAACAACAAUGAUGAACUACAAUUUUGAAUAAUAAUUUAGAUUAGUUAAUAGCAAAGGUCUCCUGGACGACGCCUCCUCAGUCUUCGACCAGUGAACGACCGCUACGUGGUUGAAAUUCUAUGUAGUAAUUAAAUAAUAUGUUCCGUGAACAUUUCAUGAUAUCAAAACUAAUCGUAUGUGUUGUCAGUGAUUGCUAGCAUUUGAUUUUUAUAAAUAAAAGACAAUUUACAGGUCAAAAGUAUUUAACUUUUUAAUUAUGCAUCAAGAACAACAACAGUGUAACUUUAACGGGAAUUCCAUAGAGAAAGGGGAUAGCUGUUACGCGGUAUCCGAUAAUCGGAAUCUUCUUCAGGAAAAAAUGUCCCAGAAGCAACAGCAAAUAAUGCCAUAAGGACAAU